ACUCACUCUUCGCCGUCGUCGCCGCCGCUGUCGCUGCUGCCGCCGCCUGGGAGUCCGGUCUCUCCGCGCUCCCGGGACCGCCCGACCUCUCCUCCCCACUCCGCUCCGGCUCCUCCCCUCGCGCGUGGGCGGGGCGCACGGCCCGGUGGGCGGGGCUGCGGCCGCCACCCCCUCCGCCCCGGCCCACGGGCCCGGGACGUGGUCGCCGCGCCCAACUGCGGCCGUCGGGGGUCAGGACACGCGUGCUCGCGGCUGGGUUGGUGCAGCUCGCUGCGGUGCGGUGGGUCCGGGAAACCACGCGAGGCCACCACUAUGCACCACCACCAAGACCACACACCGCAGUCCCUAGGCUGCGAAGAAGAGCUCUGCCAAACUCCACACAAAAGUGGGGCUCUGAUCCAGAAAGGUCUGAGGAAACGGCCACCGUCAUAUUUAAAGGACUCUGGGGCAACAGGGAGGUUGUUUCCCAGAAAUGGAGUGUUAGGAAACACUUGGCUGAUUCAGACUGUGGCAGUUCAAAGAUGCACCCUAAACAGAAUGGCCAGACACAAGAAUGGACUAUUAUGGUUGUGAUUUUCACCUCUGGAUCAUUAUAUAGCCCAGUUAAGUACUUCAUGUACUUUUAAUUUUUCUCUAACUAAUCUGUGACAAAAACAAACAAAGUGGCUCGUUGAAGAAUGUCUGGCUUCUCAAAUUGUAUCCACCGAUUAGUCUUUAAACAGUUACCUGCAUAAGGAGAGAACAGAAAUCCAAAAUCAUGUACAAACUUGUGCAGAAAUUGUCUAUUGACAUCAAGAUGUUUGAAAUACGAUCUUUUAUUUUGUCUCCCCUCACACACUAUCCAUUUCUUAUUUCUUUUUUGUACUAAAAUGUCAGCCUGCAACAAAUUAACAAUAAAAUACAGUUAAUCAUUUAUACCCACAGGGGUCUGCAUCCUCAAAUUCAACUACAGAUUGAAAGUAUUUGAAAAUAAAAUUGAGUCUGUC
rnacentral:sRNA from 1 species